rnacentral:rRNA from 1 species
UACGUAGGGGGCAAGCGUUGUCCGGAAUCAUUGGGCGUAAAGAGCGUGUAGGCGGCUCGGUAAGUCCGCUGUGAAAGUCCAGGGCUCAACCCUGGAAUGCCGGUGGAAACUGUCGAGCUAGAGUCCGGAAGAGGCGAGUGGAAUUCCUGGUGUAGCGGUGAAAUGCGCAGAUAUCAGGAGGAACACCGGUGGCGAAGGCGGGUCUCUGGACCGAUACUGACGCUGAGGAGCGAAAGCGUGGGGAGCGAACAGG